GACGAACGCUGGCGGCGUGCUUAACACAUGCAAGUCGAACGGAAAGGCCCUGCUUUUGUGGGGUGCUCGAGUGGCGAACGGGUGAGUAACACGUGAGUAACCUGCCCUUGACUUUGGGAUAACUUCAGGAAACUGGGGCUAAUAACGGAUAGGAGCUCCUGCUGCAUGGUGGGGGUUGGAAAGUUUCGGCGGUUGGGGAUGGACUCGCGGCUUAUCAGCUUGUUGGUGGGGUAGUGGCUUACCAAGGCUUUGACGGGUAGCCGGCCUGAGAGGGUGACCGGCCACAUUGGGACUGAGAUACGGCCCAGACUCCUACGGGAGGCAGCAGUGGGGAAUAUUGCACAAUGGGCGGAAGCCUGAUGCAGCACCGCCGCGUGCGGGAUGACGGCCUUCGGGUUGUAAACCGCUUUCGCCUGUGACGAAGCGUGAGUGACGGUAAUGUGUAAAGAAGCACCGGCUAACUACGUG
rnacentral:rRNA from 1 species